GAUGAACGCUGGCGGCGUGCCUAAUACAUGCCAGUCGAGCGAACGGACGAGAAGCUUGCUUCUCUGAUGUUAGCGGCGGACGGGUGAGUAACACGUGGAUAACCUACCUAUAAGACUGGGAUAACUUCGGGAAACCGGAGCUAAUACCGGAUGAUAUUUUGAACCGCAUGGUUCAAAAGUGAAAGACGGUCUUGCUGUCACUUAUAGAUGGAUCCGCGCUGCAUUAGCUAGUUGGUAAGGUAACGGCUUACCAAGGCAACGAUGCAUAGCCGACCUGAGAGGGUGAUCGGCCACACUGAAACUGAGACACGGUCCAGACUCCUACGGGAGGCAGCAGUAGGGAAUCUUCCACAAUGGGCGAAAGCCUGACGGAGCAACGCCGCGUGAGUGAUGAAGGUCUUCGGAUCGUAAAACUCUGUUAUUAGGGAAGAACAUAUGUGUAAGUAACUGUGCACAUCUUGACGGUACCUAAUCAGAAAGCCACGGCUAACUACGUG
rnacentral:rRNA from 1 species